rnacentral:rRNA from 1 species
GUAAAAAGUAGAAUAAUAGAUUUGAAAUAUUUAUUAUAUAGAUUUAAAGAGAUAAUCAUGGAGUAUAAAUUAUUAAAUAAGAUAAGAUUUAAUAAUAACUAUUAAUAGGAUUAGGUUACUAAUAAAUUAAUAAUAAUUAAUUUAAAAACCUAAAGGUAAACCUUUAUAUUAAUAAUAUAUAUAUUUAUAUUAUUAAUAAUAAUAAGAACUAAGUGAACUGAAACAUCUAAGUAACUUAAGGAAUAUAAAUCAACAGAGAUAUUAUGAGUAUUGGUGAGAGAAAAUAAUAAAGGUCUAAUAAGUAUUAUGUAAGAAGUAUGUAAGAAAAUAGGAUAACAAAUUCUAAGACUAAAUACUAUUAAUAAGUAUAAUAAGUACCGUAAGGGAAAGUAUGAAAAUGAUUAUUUUAUAAGCAAUCAUGGAUAUAAUUUUAAUAUUAAUGAUGUACCUUUUGUAUAAUGGGUCAGCAAGUAAUUAAUAUUAGUAAAACAAUAAAGUUAUAAAUAAAUAGAAAAAGUAUAUAUAUAAAAAAAUAUAUUAAAAUAUUUAAUUAAUAUUAAUUGACCCGAAAGCAAACGAUCUAACUAUGAUAAGAUGGGUAAACGAUCGAACAGGUUGAUGUUGCAAUAUCAUCUGAUUAAUUGUGGUUAGUAGUGAAAGACAAAUCUGGUUUGCAGAUAGCUGGUUUUCUAUGAAAUAUAUGUAAGUAUAGCCUUUAUAAAUAAUAAUUAUUAUAUAAUAUUAAAAUAAUAUUAUAUAAAGAAUGGUACAGCAAUUAAUAUAUAUUAGGGAACUAUAAAAGUUUUAUUAAUAAUAUUAAAUCUCGAAAUGUUUAAUUAUAUAUAAUAAAGAGUCAGAUUAUGUGCGAUAAGGUAAAUAAUCAAAAGGGAAACAGCCCAGAUUAAGAUAUAAAGUUCCUAAUAAAUAAUAAGUGAAAAAAAUAUUAAAAUAUUAUAAUAUAAUCAGUUAAUGGGUUUGACAAUAACCAUUUUUUAAUGAACAUGUAACAAUGCACUGAUUUAUAAAAAUAAAAUAAUAUUUAAAAUCAAAUAUAUAUAUAUAUUUUUGUUAAUAGAUAAUAUACGGAUCUUAAUAAUAAUAAGAAUUAUUUAAUUCCAAAAAUGGAAUAUCAUAUUAAAUUAAUAAAAAAUAUGAAUACUGAAUAUCUAAAUAUUAUUAUUAAUAAUAAAUAAUAAUAAUAAUAUGGUAAUAGAACAUUUAAUGAUAAUAUAUAUUAGUUAUUAAUUAAUAUAUUAAUUAAUUAAAUAGAGAAUGCUGACAUGAGUAACGAAAAAAAGGUAUAAACCUUUUCACCUAAAACAUAAGGUUUAACUAUAAAAGUACGGCCCCUAAUUAAAUAAAUAAGAAUAUAAAUAUAUUUAAGAUGGGAUAAUCUAUAUUAAUAAAAAUAAUCUUAAAAUAUAUAUAUUAUUAUUAUUAAUUUAUUAAUUAAUUAAUUAAUAAUAUAUAUAAUUAUAUUUAUAUAUUAUAUAUAUAUAUAAUAUAAACUAAUAAAGAUCAAGAAAAGUAUUAAUGUAUACCGUAAUGUAGACCGACUCAGGUAUGUAAGUAGAGAAUAUGAAGGUGUAUUAGAGAAUUAAAGGGAAGGAACUCGGCAAAGAUAGCUCAUAAGUUAGUCAAUAAAGAGUAAUAAGAACAAAGUUGUACAACUGUUUACUAAAAACACCGCACUUUGCAGAAACGAUAAGUUUAAGUAUAAGGUGUGAACUCUGCUCCAUGCUUAAUAUAUAAAUUAAAUUAUUUAACGAUAAUUUAAUUAAAUUUAGGUAAAUAGCAGCCUUAUUAUGAGGGUUAUAAUGUAGCGAAAUUCCUUGGCCUAUAAUUGAGGUCCCGCAUGAAUGACGUAAUGAUACAACAACUGUCUCCCCUUUAAACUAAGUGAAAUUGAAAUCGUAGUGAAGAUGCUAUGUACCUUCAGCAAGACGGAAAGACCCUAUGCAGCUUUACUGUAAUUAGAUAGAUCGAAUUAUUGUUUAUUAUAUUCAGCAUAUUAAGUAAUCCUAUAAUUUUAGGUAAUCGUUUAGAUAUUAAUGAGAUACUUAUUAUAAUAUAAUGAUAAUUCUAAUCUUAUAAAUAAUAAUUAAUUAAUUAAUUAAUUAAUUAUUAAUACUUAAUAGAUAUAAUUUCUUAAGUAAUAUAUAAUAUAUUAUAUUAUUAUAUGUAUUAUAUAUAUAUAUAUAAGAGACAAUCUCUAAUUGGUAGUUUUGAUGGGGCGUCAUUAUCAGCAAAAGUAUCUGAAUAAGUCCAUAAAUAAAUAUAUAAAAUUAUUGAAUAAGAAUAAUAUAUAUUAUAUAUAUUAAUUAUAAAUUGAAAUAUAUUUAUAUUUUUAAUGAAUAUAUUUUAGUAAUAGAUAAAAAUAUGUACAGUAAAAUUGUAAGGAAAACAAUAAUAACUUUCUAUUUAUUAAUUUAUAAAAAAAGUAUAGAAAGAAUUAGAUUAAUAUAAUGGUAUAACUGUGCGAUAAUUGUAACACAAACGAGUGAAACAAGUACGUAAGUAUGGCAUAAUGAACAAAUAACACUGAUUGUAAAGGUUAUUGAUAACGAAUAAAAGUUACGCUAGGGAUAACAGGGUAAUAUAACGAAAGAGUAGAUAUUGUAAGUUAUGUUUGCCACCUCGAUGUCGACUCAACAUUUCCUCUUGGUUGUAAAAGCUAAGAAGGGUUUGACUGUUCGUCAAUUAAAAUGUUACGUGAGUUGGGUUAAAUACGAUGUGAAUCAGUAUGGUUCCUAUCUGCUGAAGGAAAUAUUAUCAAUUUAAAUCUCAUUAUUAGUACGCAAGGACCAUAAUGAAUCAACCCAUGGUGUAUCUAUUGAUAAUUUAAUAAUAUAUUUAUAAUAAAAAUUUUAUAAUAAAUAUAUUAUCUAUAUUAGUUUAUAUUUUUAUAUAAUUAUCAUAGUAGAUAAGCUAAGUUGAUAAUAAAUAAAUAUUGAAUACAUAUUAAAUAUGAAGUUGUUUUAAUAAGAUAAUUAAUCUGAUAAUUUUAUACUAAAAUUUAAUAAUUAUAGGUUUUAUAUAUUCUUUAUAUAUUAAUAAUAUUUUUUAUAAUAUUAAUAAAAUACUAAUUUAUCAGUUAUCUAUAUAAUAUCUAAUCUAUUAUUCUAUAUACU